rnacentral:rRNA from 1 species
UAAGAGCCUACCAAGGCGACGAUCCGUAGCUGGUCUGAGAGGAUGAUCAGCCACAUCGGGACUGAGACACGGCCCGAACUCCUACGGGAGGCAGCAGUGGGGAAUAUUGGACAAUGGGGGCAACCCUGAUCCAGCCAUGCCGCGUGUGUGAAGAAGGCUUUCGGGUUGUAAAGCACUUUCAGUGAGGAGGAAAAGUUAGUCGUUAAUAUCGGCUAGCCUUGACGUUACUCACAGAAGAAGCACCGGCUAACUCCGUGCCAGCAGCCGCGGUAAUACGGAGGGUGCAAGCGUUAAUCGGAAUUACUGGGCGUAAAGCGCGCGUAGGUGGUUUGAUAAGCGAGAUGUGAAAGCCCCGGGCUUAACCUGGGAACGGCAUUUCGAACUGUCAGGCUAGAGUGUGGUAGAGGGUAGUGGAAUUUCCUGUGUAGCGGUGAAAUGCGUAGAUAUAGGAANGGAACACCAGUGGCGAAGGCGGCUACCUGGACCAACACUGACACUGAGGUGCGAAAGCGUGGGGAGCAAACACCGAUUAGAUACCCUGGUAGUCCACGCCGUAAACGAUGUCAACUAGCCGUUGGGGAUCUUGAAUCCUUAGUGGCGCAGCUAACGCACUAAGUUGACCGCCUGGGGAGUACGGCCGCAAGGUUAAAACUCAAAUGAAUUGACGGGGGCCCGCACAAGCGGUGGAGCAUGUGGUUUAAUUCGACGCAACGCGAAGAACCUUACCUGGCCUUGACAUGCAGAGAACUUUCCAGAGAUGGAUUGGUGCCUUCGGGAACUCUGACACAGGUGCUGCAUGGCCGUCGUCAGCUCGUGUCGUGAGAUGUUGGGUUAAGUCCCGUAACGAGCGCAACCCCUAUCCCUGGUUGCUAGCAGUUCGGCUGAGGACUCUAGGGAGACUGCCGGUGACAAACCGGAGGAAGGUGGGGAUGACGUCAGGUCAUCAUGGCCCUUACGGCCAGGGCUACACACGUGCUACAAUGGCGCGCACAGAGGGCUGCAAACCCGCGAGGGGGAGCUAAUCUCACAAAACGCGUCGUAGUCCGGAUCGGAGUCUGCAACUCGACUCCGUGAAGUCGGAAUCGCUAGUAAUCGUGAAUCAGAAUGUCGCGGUGAAUACGUUCCCGGG